UACAUUUUAUGUAUUUCAAUUAGCAUUAACUAAUAACGUUUAGACAUGUUUCUCUCGUCAAAAUUAGCAGCUUGUGACGCUAGAACAAAAAAUCUACAGAUUCCAAAGAUCGUCCCUUCUAAAAAAGGUAAUAGAAAUUUGAAAAUUUCAAGUGAAGUUCUUAUUCUUCAGUCGAGGCUCGAACAGAGAAAUGUUUUGCGACUUCACUGUCGUGGUAGAAGAACGUGAGUUUCCCUGUCAUAGAUUUGUACUCAACGCAUGCUCUGGAUUUUUUGAGGCUCUGUUGAAAGAACGUCGAGAAAAUAGAGUCUUUAUCCAAGGCAUUACUCCAAAUAUUUUUGAACUUAUCCUCGACACGAUCUACAGCGGCUCUGAUGUUCCAACUCUGGAGACCAUACAAGAAAUAUGGAAGGCUGCUCAUCAACUCCAGAUUACGUUUUUGAUGUAUUUAUGUGAAGAUUUUGUUAAGGAGAACUUGAAUGAAAGUAACUGCUACGAAAUGUACAUCUUGGCGAAGAUUUUAUCUUCAGAGAAAAUUGUCAAAUUCGCAAUCAACUUUAUGGCAACCCAAUGCUAUACUUUUAAUCCUGCGACGUUUGCAAAAAUCAAAUUUGAAGAUUUAAAAACAAUCAUGCAGAUUCAAGAAUCAACAGCUUGUGUUCCCUACAUAAGUUUAAGUUGGUAGCUGUAAAAUGAUGAUCUCCUAGAAAUAUUAAUUGAUACAAACUUAUUUUAAUUCACUUUGUCUGUCUGUGUAUUUGUCUGGUAAAAAAGUUUGUACAUGUUAUUUCUCCCACAUACAUUCUCCGAUCAAGUUGAAACUUUGCACAAUUAUUCAUUGGCUGAGGCUAGACAAGAAUCAAUUUUUUAAAAUAAAAAAUUAAAAAAUUAGCCUAUUAAUUACUGGUAAUUAAUUAUUUUGUUUGAUAUCAACAAGGGCAAUUAAUUCUUCAGUAUUCACAGAUACGGCUAUAUAAGUAGGGUUUCGUCCCUUCAGAUAUUUGAACACGUUAUUCAGCCCACACUCAUUCCUGGACAGUAAAACCAAGUACAUCACAAUGACAAGAGACAAUCAAACAGAGGGACAAAAUAUCAAAAUCAAAGACCACGAAUUUGAAAACGUCCAAACUUUCAAAUAUCUAGGAAGUACUAUUAAUUUCAAAAAUGACCUACUAACAGAAAUAAAGGAAAGAAUAGCAGCAGGCAACAGGGCAUUUUAUAGCACCCACCAUCUACUUAAGAGCAAAAUGAUUUCAAGUAAAACCAAGAAAAUAAUAUACAAAACUAUAAUAAGACCAGCAGCAAUGUAUGGAAGUGAGACCUGGACACUGACAAAGACAUCUGAAAAUUUACUUAACACUUGGGAAAGAAAAAUCCUUAGGAAAAUCUAUGGUGCCAUACAGGAUGAAACAGGGUGGAGGACACGCAUUAACCAUGAGUUAUAUCAAUUAUAUGAAGACCCACCAAUAGUGAACGAAAUAAAAAAGAACAGACUACGUUGGGCAGGUCACCUUGAAAGAAUGUCAGACAUCAGAGGGGCGAAAAUCGUAUACAGGCAAAAACCAAAAGGCAGGCGACUCAAAGGCAGACCCCGAAUGCGAUGGAUAGAUGACGUGGAAGCAGAUCUGAAGCAGCUUGGGGUUAGGGCGUGGAGAGGCGUGGCCCAGGAGAGAUCUGAAUGGAAGGAUGUGUUAAAGCAGGCCAGAGCCCUCCAUGGGCUGUAGCGCCACUGGGAUGGAUGGAUGGAUGGACUCAUUCCUGGAUCACGUUGAAACUUUAAAUAAUUAUUUAUUGCACUUUACACAGCAUAAAUCAAUUUGAAAAUAACCAAUUAGUCAAUUAAUUAUUUAUAUUUUUUUAAAUUCGAAUAAUUUAAAUAACAUCUACAUUCUUGAGAGAUAUAGUUGUUCAAUAAACUUGUGUAGGAUCGAGGCAUUAAGGAUACACUUUUCUAUUGCUGUUAUCUACAACCAGCAGUCGGAGGCGCGGUGGCUGAGUGGUAAAGCACUUUGCUUCCUAACCGGGGGAUCCUGGGUUCCAAUACUGGUGAAGACUGGCAAUUUUAAUUUUUGGAUGUUUUGGCGCCUCUGAGUCAACCCAGCUCUAAUGGGUACCUGACAUUAGUUGGGGAAAAGUAAAGGCGGUUGUCCGUUGUGCUGGCCACAUGACACCCUCGUUAACCGUAGUCCAAAGAAACAGUUGAUCUUUAUAUUAUCUGCCCUAUAGACCACAAAGUCUGAAAGGGGAACUUUACUUUUUACAACCAGCAGUAGUCCCUUAUUUCUGAAACUACACGGUAUCUGAAAAAAAUGUAUCACUCGAUGUUACUUUUGAAACUGAAGCUCUAUUAUCACAAUAUAUAAAUGUAAUUGAUUGUUAGGAUGUUUUUUUGCACACUUUAAGUGUUCUCAUUAAAACAUAGAUUAAAAGUAACAAUCAAAAUAGUAAUUCUAUGUUCAUGUGUAAUUUUUACUUUUUAAAAUAAAAUUGUGACCUCAAGAGACAUAGUCCUCAGAUAUAAAAUAAAUUAAAUCAAUUUAAAAUUGUCCAAUGCAUCAUUCACUCCAUUGUUUAUACAAACUAAGCCAAGAACAAGAUGUAAAUACAUGUAAGCAGUACACUUAGUCACUAGGCACAAAAGAAAACGCUACCACACGAUAAAGGACGUAGUUUGAAAUGUCCCAAGAAUUCUCGCCGGAUCGGCUUGGGUGCUAAAAACAAAUGUCAGUCCUUCAUUACUGAAAAAAUGCAUUGAGAAAAAAAAUACAUUGAGAAAAAAAAUGAAAUGAAAGAAAAACGAAUUUUAAUGAAAAACUUUGAAAAAAAAAUCUUUAAAAAAGAAAAACGUUAUUCCAUUAUAUGCCGUAAAAGAAAAAAAUUGCAAUCAUGAUCAGAACUCGUAGCUUUCACUGUUACGCGACCUGCCAAGUACAUUCAGUUUUUGACUUUUUAAAAAAAGAUAACAACUUUUCUAGGUAUUGACAGUUUCAAGAUUUUCCCGAAAUGAUUUGACAAAGGUUGUUUCAAUAUCAUGUGAUUUCAAUUAUAAGCAAAAGACUUCAACAUGAAUUCCUCUUUUUUCUCAACUCCAGGACAGGGAUUUGGUAGUGGUGUAAAAGCUUCAAUGUAUCCACAGCCUUUUAAUGACAACAUUUCUAAGAAGAAUGACAGACAACUGAAAAUUGCUAAGGACGUUCUGAAUUGCUUCAGUCAGGGCUCAAACAGAGAAAUGUUUUGUGACUUCAUUGUCGUGGUAGAAGAACGUGAGUUUCCAUGUCAUAGAUUUGUACUGAGUGCGUGCUCUACAUUCUUUGAGGCUCUGCUGAGGUCAGACAUGAAAGAAAGCAGACAAAAGCGAGUCGUAGUCAAAGGAAUGUCCCCAGAUAUAUUUAAACUUAUCCUCGAUGUGAUCUACAGUGGCUCUGAUGUUUUGACCCCGAAGACCAUAAUAGAAAUCUGGAAGGCUGCUCAUCAACUCCAGAUUGUCUUCUUGAUGUCCUUAUGUGAGGAUUUUAUUCAGGAGAACUUGAAUGAAGCCAACUGCUACUAAAUGUACAGCCUCGCGCAACUUUUAUCUUCCGAGAAAAUCAUCAAUUUGGCGAUCAACUUUAUGGCUAAACACUUUUACAACUUUGCUCAGUCGGGGAUGUUUGAACAGAUGGAAGUUGAAGACUUCAAAAAAGUUUUACAAUUUCAAGAAUCAACAGUGUGUGUCGAUUUUAAAAUCGAGACUAUCAUAAACUGGUGUCAAAAAGAUAACAUUAACUCAGAUGGCUCAGAAAUGGACAGACUAAAAUACCUUGGAACAUUGUUUCAUGCUGUGAAUCUAUCUCAAGUUAGUAAAAUAUGUUUGGCCUCCCUUAUGACUAAUAAGCAUGUCUUGGCCAACACAGCGGCAAUAACAGCAGUCAAUAUGCAAGCUUCUCAGAUAGUAAUAAAUCCUAAUUAUGAACUCGUAUUUCAGAAUAUAAAGGGAUUUAAUUCACCAUUUCUGCAAACAAGUAAUACCUGUCUGCACUGCAGUAACAAAUCAAUGAAAGGCUUUCGCUGCGGCAAAUGACCGGCCCUAACUAUUGCUGGGCUCUAUGCGAAACGGAUUGCGCCGUCUGGAUAGGGAUAAGGACAAUAAGUGAAAAUUAAGAUUUUUAUUAGAAAAUAUAUUCAUCUUUGCCUUUUAUUCAUUCUUUACAAAAUAACGAUCAACUUUACUUUCCGAGCAUUGCGUGUAGCGAAGUCAUACAGUAGAUCAUCAAAAUUCUGGAUCACAUUCAAUAGCAGGAAUUGCCAAAUUGUUCAAUCUAUCUUCGUGAAUUGUCACCCUCAAUUUAUUUUCGAUUAAUUUGAGGCGCGAGAAGCUUCUUUCACCAAAACCACAGUUACGGGUAUUGUUAAAAAUAUUCUGAGUGCAACAAAGUAAUUUGGAGAAGCAGUGUAUCUAGUGGACAGAUAUGCUAAAAGUUCUACCGAGUUUUAGCGGUAUUUUGUAGAAUAUGCCUUAAAGAUGACAAUUUUGUCUAUUUUUCCUAGGAGAUUUUUAUGAGUUUUCAGUAGAUUUUAAUGAUUCUAUGAGAUUUCUAGGCGCUCCUGGAAAAUCGGGAGGCCGCGAGAACCCUGUAAUAUAAGUUAUAAUGUUUAAUUUAACGAUAUACACUUCGAAUUAGCGAGGGGCCUAUGAAAGUGCGGGGCCCACUGCAGCCGUAUAGGUUGCAGUGACCUAAGGCCGGUCUUAAUGAGGCCCAUCGUGUCAAGAGAAUGUGUAUCUUAAAAUUAACUAUAAGUGAGCUUAUCUUUCGUGGUUAUAGGAAGCAGUGGAGUCCAUGUUUCGCUAUGAAAAUAUAUCUACAUUCAGGACAUGGUUAGUUUGGGCUUAUUAAUUCCAUUAAUUGCAUUUCGUUUGCAUUUUUUGGCUUGCCGUUUUCACUUCGAAGUCGUCUAUCCUCUUUGCCUUGUAGCAUUUGUCACAUUCAGCAGCACAUUUCUGUUACCGAGCGGAUACAGCCUAGUCAUGAUGCAUAGAAAUGGGAAGUUCUUGAAGAGAUAGUUUUGAAACAAGCAAGUGGGUCACUAGAAAAAAAAAUAUUCCUUAAGAAAGUUUGCAGGAAGUGUUAAAUAUAACGUAUUCACCUAGCAAAGUCUUGGGAGACUAUAUAAGAAAUACAAAGACAUCGAAGUCAUAGGUCAUUUUGAUCAGCAGUCGUUAAAUAGUAGUUAUUCACUGUGCUUUAUUUUAUACUGAUAUUAUAUUGUCAGACAGUCAAGGUCAGGGACGUUUCAUUUCACAAAAUUGUGUGUGGAGCUUUAUAACGCAGACAGACGAUAAGGCUACAUCUAUUGGGCCAAAAAAGUGUUUAUGCAUAGGCUACAUUAGAGAGUUGCGGGCCCUAAGAUUCAAGGAUGAAAAAGACACACACACACACACACACACAAAGAGAACUUAUAGAAUUUGAGGACCAGAAAAAUUGUGUUUGGAGUAGAAGAGCAUUGUAAUGCGGGCUGUUUUAUUAAAGCUUAGGGGCGUAACAUAAAUUUUGAUUGAUGUUUGUUUUACACAUUCAGUUCUUUCAUUCAUACAUACCUAUAACAUCCUAUAACCUUACCAUUUAACGUAUAAAUUAGCUUCAAAGCCUAUUAGAAGCUUCACUUUGAACAUCACAGCGAGUGAUAGGUAUUCAAUACUAUUUAUAAGUUUAAAAUAAAUUGUAAAAAAAAAAAAAAUAAACUUAAAAUCGUAAAUCAUAUAGCCAUGGAUAAAUUGUGGGUCAGAGUGGAGUCUGUUAUGUUUACUUCAUUUAAGAUUCUGUAUUGUUAUUCUAAGUGGACCAGAUACUUCAGCUCAUGUAUGAUUCACUGUUUGGUUGAUGGUUAGCAAAGUCCAUUUUAUGGCUUUUUUUUUUCCGCGCAAUAAAAACGAAUAUAAAAGAUACUUUGUAGAUUUGUAAUUUAAAAAAAAAUGUUAAUUUAGCAUAGUCAUUGUUGAAAGAUGUUUGUUAAGGAGUUUAUUUGUUAAGUCUUCUACAUCUUUCCAUUCUUCACGCUUUUAUUUAUUUCGCAUGGUUUUUGUUUUAUUGUUUACCAAGUCAGCACAUUGGAGGAGAAAUGAAUAUUUGUCAAAAUUAUGGUGUUGUGCUUUAAGAUUUUAAUUUCACUCUUGUCAAUUUCAUACUGUCGUCUUUCAACAUUGUUACAUUGUAAUGAGUAUACAAAUAAAUGCUUUUUUUAAAAUCACAA